rnacentral:rRNA from 1 species
AUACGGAGGAUCCGAGCGUUAUCCGGAUUUAUUGGGUUUAAAGGGAGCGUAGGUGGAUUGUUAAGUCAGUUGUGAAAGUUUGCGGCUCAACCGUAAAAUUGCAGUUGAAACUGGCAGUCUUGAGUACAGUAGAGGUGGGCGGAAUUCGUGGUGUAGCGGUGAAAUGCUUAGAUAUCACGAAGAACUCCGAUUGCGAAGGCAGCUUACUAGACUGUUACUGACACUGAUGCUCGAAAGUGUGGGUAUCAAACAGGAUUAGAUACCCUGGUAGUCCACACAGUAAACGAUGAAUACUCGCUGUUUGCGAUAUACAGUAAGCGGCCAAGCGAAAGCAUUAAGUAUUCCACCUGGGGAGUACGCCGGCAACGGUGAAACUCAAAUGAAUUGACGGGG